ensembl:lncRNA
GUGAGUUAUUUUGAUAUUUAGGGUAAGGAAAAAAGAAUCCCCUUUUCAUAUCCUUCCAACUGCGGAGUUUUUUUUUAACCCCUUUCCCGUGAGGUGGGAACUCAUCUUCGUGGUCGAAUUUAAAAGAACAAUGGAACCCUGACUACGUUUCAACAAAAAAUAAAAACUUGUUUUUUUUUUUUUCCUUUUGGGUGUUGGCUUUUAACUCUUUCCAAGCCGAUUUUGAAAACGGCUGCAGUGUUACAGAUGAAAAGAAUAUAUUUGUCUUCGUCCUGCGGUAGCUCGUGUGGUGUUGUGGAGGUGAAGAUCUACGUAAAAAUAGUGUUGGGCAGAUUUACGUAGUACUUGUAAAAUCACAGGUAACUUACAAGAUUAAAAUUAAAUUUGAUUGACGAUGAUUCUGAACAAAUAUGCUGUUUAUUUGAGGUAUGCCAUUUUGAAGACUGAGACCAUGGAAUUUUGUCCUUGAGGAUAAAUCUUUGUGAUAGUCUGUAUUUUGUAUAGCAAGAAUAUGAAUCCUGAAGCUGAAUUACCUAAGGGGCCUCUACGGUGAAGUGAAAUAGAUGUUGGUGGAAGCAUUUACACCCAGUCAGCUUGAAGAGUCUCAAAUGGACCCUACCACUGAGAAAUCAAGAUGGCAGUCCACUAUGGGGAAUUGAGAAAAAUGGAUUAAUACAAGAGUGCUGUGAUAAUAUACAACCAAGACAGGGUUCUUUUAACAUGGAUUUCAUGAAAUGAAUGAAGAUAUAGGUUUUUUAACAGCACAAAUGGACAGUAAAUUUGUCUUUCUAGAGACUUUUUGUAUCAUUAGGAAUAUUUUUGACAUUUGGAGAAAAAGAUGGCACAUUAACAGAUGAUAGUUUGUAUGCCUGGAAUUUUUUCAGUUUGAUUUGUAUGAGUAUGACCUUGUGGAAUGUUAACUUUAAUAAAAUUU